rnacentral:rRNA from 1 species
AGAGUUUGAUCCUGGCUCAGGACGAACGCUGGCGGCGUGCCUAACACAUGCAAGUCGAGCGGAGACAGUGAGUAGCUUGCUAUGAGCUGUUUUAGCGGCGGACGGGUGAGUAACGCGUGAGCAACCUUUCCCAGACAGGGGAAUAACACACCGAAAGGUGUACUAAUACCGCAUAAGACCACGGAAUCACAUGGUUCUGAGGUAAAAGAUUUAUCGGUUUGGGGUGGGCUCGCGUCCGAUUAGGUAGUUGGUGAGGUAACGGCCCACCAAGCCGACGAUCGGUAGCCGACCUGAGAGGGUGAUCGGCCACAUUGGGACUGAGACACGGCCCAAACUCCUACGGGAGGCAGCAGUGGGGAAUAUUGCACAAUGGGGGAAACCCUGAUGCAGCGACGCCGCGUGAAGGAAGAAGUAUCUCGGUAUGUAAACUUCUAUCAGCAGGGAAGAAAAUGACGGUACCUGACUAAGAAGCCCCGGCUAACUACGUGCCAGCAGCCGCGGUAAUACGUAGGGGGCAAGCGUUGUCCGGAAUAAUUGGGCGUAAAGGGCGCGUAGGCGGCUCGGUAAGUCUGGAGUGAAAGUCCUGCUUUUAAGGUGGGAAUUGCUUUGGAUACUGUCGGGCUUGAGUGCAGGAGAGGUUAGUGGAAUUCCCAGUGUAGCGGUGAAAUGCGUAGAGAUUGGGAGGAACACCAGUGGCGAAGGCGACUAACUGGACUGUAACUGACGCUGAGGCGCGAAAGUGUGGGGAGCAAACAGGAUUAGAUACCCUGGUAGUCCACACUGUAAACGAUGAAUGCUAGGUGUAGGGGGUAUCGACCCCUUCUGUGCCGCAGUCAACACAAUAAGCAUUCCGCCUGGGGAGUACGGCCGCAAGGUUGAAACUCAAAGGAAUUGACGGGGGCCCGCACAAGCAGCGGAGCAUGUGGUUUAAUUCGACGCAACGCGAAGAACCUUACCAGGUCUUGACAUCCACUUAAACUUACAGAGAUGUAAGGUGUGCUUGCACAAAGUGAGACAGGUGGUGCAUGGUUGUCGUCAGCUCGUGUCGUGAGAUGUUGGGUUAAGUCCCGCAACGAGCGCAACC